rnacentral:rRNA from 1 species
UACGGAAGGUCCGGGCGUUAUCCGGAUUUAUUGGGUUUAAAGGGAGCGCAGGCCGCUGAUUAAGCGUGACGUGAAAUGCCGCGGCCCAACCGUGGAAGUGCGUCGCAAACUGGUCGGCUUGAGUGCGUACGACGUGGGCGGAAUUCGUGGUGUAGCGGUGAAAUGCUUAGAUAUCACGAAGAACCCCGAUUGCGAAGGCAGCCCACGAGGCCGCAACUGACGCUAAAGCUCGAAGGUGCGGGUAUCGAAC